GAAUAUUGGACAAUGGGCGAAAGCCUGAUCCAGCCAUGCCGCGUGUGUGAAGGAGGUCUUCGGAUUGUAAAGCACUUUAAGUUGGGAGGAAGGGCAGUAAGCGAAUACCUUGCUGUUUUGACGUUACCGACAGAAUAAGCACCGGCUCACUCUGUGCCAGCAGCCGCGGUAAUCCAUAGGGUGCAAGAUUUAAGCGGAAUUACUGGGCGUAAAGCGCGCGUAGGUGGUGCGUUGAGUUGGAUGUGAAAUCCCCGGGCUCAACCUGGGAACUGCAUCCAAAACUGGCGAGCUAGAGUAGGUCAGAGGGUGGUGGAAUUUCCUGUGUAGCGGUGAAAUGCGUAGAUAUAGGAAGGAACACCAGUGGCGAAGGCGACACCUGGGCUCAUACCGACACUGAGGUGCGAAAGUGUGGGGAGCAAACAG
rnacentral:rRNA from 1 species